AUGCCGGGGCCUGGGUGCCUCUGCCCACUGGGAGUCAGGAAUGCACUGCCUCGGGGUGCCAGGGAAGGGAGCGGGGCCUCUGCCUGCACCUCACAUCUGCAGCUCAGACCUCACCCUGGGAGGUGUGCCGGGGAGCUGAGGCCACUCUCCCCCAAGCAGAACUGUGCUCUGAGCACCUCAGGGACUGGCAGGGGCUGCUGUCAGUCACCUUCUGUCUGGCCUGGGGAGGUGCCCAGAGGAGGUCACUGUCUGGCCAUCUGUGGACAUCUAUGCCCCUGUGUGCCUGAGAUGGAAGAGGAGGCAGUGGUGCCCUUGGGAAAGGACCAUCGCAGCCUGGGCACUGGGGACCUGGUCCUGGGCAAUUUCCUUUCCCUAUUGAGCCCUGAGUGCCUCAGCUAUAAAGUGUGGCAGCCGCUGUCCAGGUUUGUGGGAGGGAGAAAUGGCUUCACUCUGCAAAAGCAUUUCUGACUGUGAAGCACCUAAGAUACCAGGACUGGCCUCGCCUGACCUGGAUGUCCUCCAGGGACCCAAGGUUUUCUGGCCUGCCAGGUUAGGGAAAUGAGAGCAGAGAGGGAAGGACAGACAUCGAGGAGGCCAUGGCACAGAAGUAGGACUUCGAGACCUGAGGAUGAGGCAGUCACUAGAGUGAGGGGUUGCAGGCCCUAAGAGCUGAAAAUUGGCAGGAGGUGGAGUUGGGCGGCUAUGAUGACCUUGAUGAAGGCCUAUAGGCUUCCAGGGGAGAGAGCACAGUGUCCUCAUUGCUGCCGCUGACCUGCCCAAGUUGUCUGUUGGGCAGGAGAAUCCUGAGAAGAAACAGGGUCUCCAUGCCCCCCAACUCCCUGGCCUCAGCCAAAGGAGGCUGAAGGACCCUUCCUCAUCGCUUCCUGAGGGAUUGAGAGGGCAGAGCUGGACUCGAGUGGUAGCUGAAUUGCAAUAGAUCCUCACAGGACCUAUACCCUCCCACUGCUUGCCCCAAGCCAGGCGGUGCCCACGGAUGGGGGUGGGGCAGGGCCAGUGCCCUAACCCCAGGCUCUAUCCUCCUGGGACAUUCCACAGCCCCCCCCCCACCCUCUAGGGUAUUUUUAGCUCUUACUUGGCCCGUUCUGAGGCCCUUUAAGGCUCUCUGGCUCCCAGCCUGGGAUCCAAUGCUCAGGGAUGAGGGAAGGCUGUGCAGGGAAAGAUCAGGUCCAGCCACACCAGGUGGGCGUGUGGUUGAGGGCUAGAGAGGAUGGGAGGGAGGAUGGUAGGAUGGGAGGGAGCUUGCCGAUAUGCAAAUGAAAGUGUAAAUCACAUGCAAAUGAACAUCUCCCAUAGCUACCUACUGCUGGGUCAGGUCUAGAUUUGAAUCCAAAAACUGACCCUUAAACCCAUCUUCAGGCACAGACAGAAGGCAGGAGACAGAAGGGACCUCUCCUUUCCUGGAAUUAGCAGGGCUGGGGGGGCAGAGCAGAGCAGGGACCACCCCCUCCCCAACCCCGGAAGUUGGUGGAUGGGUGGAAUGAUUGCUCCCAAGGGCUCUCCAACAGCCCUUCAUCUGGAUCCAGCUGGAAAACCCCUCCUGGUCUCUGGGGAGCCCUCUGAGUCGAGUGGUGGAAGGGCUCCUCCUCACCCUGCCCCAGCGCCCCAACUGGGUAGUUGGAAGCUAAUGGAGCAGCUAAGUGAGACCUUUCAGAAUCCGAGAAGCCUGAGAUGGACCCAGGAGCCUUAGGCCGUCAGGCUGGCUCACCCUAGAGGAAGACGCCUUGGUCUAUACCAUUCAGCUCCCCAGAUCUCAUCAGCUCGAGGAGAUGUGAAUGGUUCCAAUGAGAAGAUUUCACAGGGGUACCCCACAGUCUAGCACUCAGGCCCCUGGACUUCCACAUCCUUAUUCCUGGAGCCCUCGGCUCCCUGUGUUCCCCUCCUACUCUGAGCCCCGGGACGGCGGAAGGCAACUCUGGGAUUCCUGGAUCCCAGCUCUAUGCCAGCCCUGCUGCCCAAAUAAGCCACCUCCCCAGAGGCUGCUCCUUUGGCUGAAACUGAGCACCCCCCAUCCUCCCGUGCUCCCGCUAAGGAUCCCCAGCUCUCCCUCGGUGACUCAGCCCUCCAACUAGAGCAACAAGCUGUGGGGGAGCAAGAGAAUGAGAAGGAUGAGAAAGAGGCCUUGGUGGAGCCUCGGAUUAAAAAGCUCCAGCGAGAACAAGGCUGUUUCUCCUCUUCUCCCUUUCCUGGGCUCUUUGGUAUUUUUCUCCAUAUUUGACCCCUUAGAGCAUUCUGUCCUCCAACCUCAAUCUCUCCUAUUGCAAAGGACAUCCUCUUCCUCCUUUGCCCAGCUCUGACCAAGCCCCUUCGGGCCUUCUCAGCCUCCUACUUUAAAGCCCCUUGGCCUAGACUGGUCCUUGGAGAGAGCCAGAGGAAAAGGCUGGCCUGUCUGCAGCCACAGCUGCCGGGCCAUCUCCGAGGGCACGAGCCUCGGAGGCUGCCAGGCACCCGCCCUGCUCGGGGAAACAUGUUUUAGGAGAGCAGAGCAGGUAAGCUGAGCUUCAGCUGUGACCUCAUUUCCAGAGCCACAGCCUAGCAGGUCAGGCCAGAACAGGACACCAGGAUCCCCAGGAGGGAAGAGCAAAGCGGGUGCCGGGCUAGGGGGUGUCAGUAGCCACUCCCGGAGGAACAGUGCCUCUCCUGUCACUCCUCACUCUCAGAAGGGGCCUCAUGCAUCUCUCCAAGAAGGCCAAAGUGCUUUGGUUCUCCCCUGCUCCUGCCCUUCACUUCCAGAAAGCAGAGAUGGGGAGCUCAGGGACUGGGAUGCGGGCAGGGAACCCCAGUCCAGAGAUGAAGGUGAUGGAUAGCAAAGAGGGUCCACCCUGGAGUCCUAACCAUGUCUGGAACAAAGCCUCCUUUGAGAAUACAGAAGCCACACUCUCCCCUCCAGGCCACAGGAUAAUGUGAAAACACACGUGAUUUCGCAUAUACUUUCAGGAGACCCUGCACUGUUAAAGACCUGUGAACCCCAGAGAGAGGGCCUGUCUGGGACCAGGAACCUUCCUGCUCUUCCAAGCUGAGGUUACAGCUUGGCUUGCUGGUUGCCUUGAGCUCUGCAGACAGCUGUUCACAUCUGGCUCCACAGCUGGCUGCAGCUAAGGCCAGGUGGCUCUCCCAAAGGGCCGGGUGCUGAACUCAGUAAGAUGGGGCACUGAGCCAAGAUGUAAAACCACCCCUGGGCAAGGCUGAAGACACCCAAUAGGAGACUCAGGACUCAGUCUGGACCCAGGUGUAUCUAACCCACCUGUCUCUCAGAGGUCCAGGAGCUCUGCAGCCCCUCUAGUUGCAUAGGAAGAAAAACCGAAGCCCCUGCCUGGGCAUCCUGGGUGGGGCCCAUGGCAAAGGAGGGGCACCACAUCCUAGGCUCAGCCAGAGAGCCCUCAGUUGCUCCUUGGUGAAGUGGACACACGCAGGGCAUUUUACACACUAACACCCAAUACGGAAGCCACUCCUCCCCCCACACACACACACUACGGGAGCCUGACUCAGGGGUUAGUGAUGGAUCCGGGACAGAGCACUGGCAAUGGCACUUGGGAGCCUCUCCUCCCUCCUACAAUGCCAGGCUGCCUGAGGUAGCAAGGAGCAUGUAGACAAAGGUUCCUCUGCUCUACCUGGGGGCGGGGUGGGGGUGGGGACCAGCCCCAGGAAGGAAAUACUUUGCUCAAGGUGGCACAGCAGAGGGGGAGGGGUUGAAGAAUCACCUUUCACAAUUGCUUACCAGGCUGAUCUCUUUUUUCACGGUGUUACCUUAUGUCAUGCAAGUUCAGCAUAGAAACACACGAUAAUAGCUUUCUGGGCUGGUGUCAUAGAAACAUGCACCCACCCAUGGUCACUGAGGGCCUCCAAAAGACAGCGUCAGUCAAGGCCAGACCACAGCAGACAGCCCGGGCAGGAAGGGCGUGGUGGCCCUGCCUUCACAGGAGCAGGGUGGAGUAGAGGCUAAGUCCAGGUAGCACAUUGGACAGGGGCUGGGCAGCAGGGCAGAGGCCAAGACUGAACAGGCAUGUUGGACUUUGAUCACUGCAGGCUUCCUCAGAGAGUUUCUGCAGGCCCCAGGCAGAGCUGGGAGAGGUUUCAGCACACCCUCCACCUGCCUAUGUCUUUCGGUUCCGAGCGUCACAGGCCAGGUAGUGGAGAUGCCUGGCAGGUCCUUCCCGGGGCAACCUCACCUCCUCCAGGCCCGCNNNNNNNNNNNNNNNNNNNNNNNNNNNNNNNNNNNNNNNNNNNNNNNNNNNNNNNNNNNNNNNNNNNNNNNNNNNNNNNNNNNNNNNNNNNNNNNNNNNNNNNNNAUGCCAACCCCAGUGCACUGAGCCUACACUGGAAACCUCUGGAACCUGACAGGUCACUCUGGGCCUGAGUGCACAGGGUGGGGAGGGGGCAGACAGCCGGACGAAGUCUCUCCCUCCCUCCCCUAAGCCUAGCUCUUUCUGCUCCUUCUCCUUGCAACUGUUGGAAGGGAGAAGAGGAGAAAAGAGAAAAACACCAUUUCCCCUCCUCAAACCAAAACAAACACACUCAGAGCUGCCGAUCCAACAUGCAUCUGUGGAAUGCAGGAAGAUGUCUGGUGGGAGAGGACUCCGCUCUCGCUCAGGAUGGGUGCACCAGGCCUCCGCUGCCUUCCACUGCCCCCUCUUGUGAAUUAGAGGGAGCCUCUGGACAGCUCCAAACCCAGUCUCCCCAUCAGCUCCCCCUGCAAUGCCAAGCCCUCAAGACAACCGACCAGAGGGCGUGGCCGGCGUGGCCACUGACUAAAAGCGAGGUGCAAGGGGAGCUAAAUGCAAAUGUUCGCGGUUCUUCCUAGGCCAAGGUGCGGGGCAGCUAGGUGUUUAACUUGCAAUUGUCCCUAACUCCCAGUCCCAGAGCGAAGAGGCUAAUGGUAGGUACUGGUUUCCAGGGGCUCCGGCUGCUGAGACCCCACUUCCGUCCACGGAGAAGUCUAGAGGGUGGAUGGAGGGCGGCGUCUAGACACGCUUGGGCGGGUCAGCACUUGCCCGUGACUACCGGUCCCCAGCCUCCACUUCGGUCCAAGCCCAGCAAUCGAAGGGCUUCCCGGGUACCCGCCUCCUCCAUCCCAGCUCGCUAGGGCCUGUGGGCCCAGGGCUCCGACCUGGCUCCGGAUCCGAAUCUGCACCCCCACCCACCCCGACCCCCGCACA
rnacentral:lncRNA from 1 species